AGAACGGACUUAAGCUUGCUUAAGUUGUCAGCUAAGUGGCGCACGGGUGAGUAAUGUAUAGUUAACCUGCCCUCGAGAAAGGAAUAACAGAUGGAAACGUCUGCUAAUGCCCUAUAUGCCCAUAAUACAUAAGUAUGCUGGGGAAAUGCUUUAGUGCUCGAGGAUGGGACUGUAUGGUAUCAGAUAGUUGGUGAGGUAAUGGCUCACCAAGUCAAUGACGCCUAACUGGUUUGAGAGGAUGAUCAGUCACACUGGAACUGAGACACGGUCCAGACUCCUACGGGAGGCAGCAGUGGGGAAUAUUGCACAAUGGAGGAAACUCUGAUGCAGCAACGCCGCGUGGAGGAUGACACUUUUCGGAGCGUAAACUCCUUUUAUAUAGGAAGAUAAUGACGGUACUAUAUGAAUAAGCACCGGCUAACUCCGUGCCAGCAGCCGCGGUAAUACGGAGGGUGCAAGCGUUACUCGGAAUCACUGGGCGUAAAGAGCGUGUAGGCGGGUUAUUAAGUCAGAAGUGAAAUCCUAUGGCUCAACCAUAGAACUGCUUUUGAAACUGGUAACCUAGAGUAUGGGAGAGGUAGAUGGAAUUUCUGGUGUAGGGGUAAAAUCCGUAGAGAUCAGAAGGAAUACCGAUUGCGAAGGCGAUCUACUGGAACAUUACUGACGCUGAGACGCGAAAAGCGUGGGGAGCAAACAGAUUAGAUACCCCUGGUAGUCCACGCCCUAAACGAUGUACACUAGUUGUUGCCAUGCUAGACAUGGCAGUAAUGCAGUU
rnacentral:rRNA from 1 species